rnacentral:rRNA from 1 species
AUUGAACGCUGGCGGCAGGCCUAACACAUGCAAGUCGAGCGAGCGGCGGACGGGUGAGUAAUGUAUGGGGACUGCCCGAUAGAGGGGGAUAACUACUGGCAACGGUAGCUAAUACCGCAUACUAUCGGAUAACCCAUAUGGGAUUAGCUAGUCGGUGAGGUAAUGGCUCACCUAGGCGACGAUCCCUAGCUGGUCUGAGAGGAUGAUCAGCCACACUGGGACUGAGACACGGCCCAGACUCCUACGGAGGCAGCAGUGGGGAAUUUUGUACAAUGGGGGCAACCCUGAUGCAGCCAUCCCGCGUGUAUGAAGAAGGCCUUCGGGUUGUAAAGUACUUUUAGCGGGGAGGCGGUAUCCGCAGAAGAAGCACCGGCUAACUCCGUGCCAGCAGCCGCGGUAAUUC